rnacentral:rRNA from 1 species
AGCGAACGCUGGCGGCAUGCUUAACACAUGCAAGUCGCGCGGGUGGUUUCGGCCAUCAGCGGCGGACGGGUGCGUAUCGCGUAGGAAUGUAUCCCGAGGUGGGGGACAACCCUGGGAAACUGGGGCUAAUACCGCAUGGUGCCUGUGGGUCAAAGCCUUAGGGCGCCUUGGGAGCAGCCUGCGUCCGAUUAGGUAGUUGGUGGGGUAAAGGCCUACCAAGCCUGCGAUCGGUAGCUGGUCUGAGAGGACGAUCAGCCACACUGGGACUGAGACACGGCCCAGAAUCCUACGGGAGGCAGCAGUGGGGAAUAUUGGACAAUGGGCGCAAGCAUGAUCCAGCAAUGCCGCGUGGGUGAAGAAGGUCUUCGGAUUGUAAAGCCCUUUCGGCGGGGACGAUGAUGACGGUACCCGCAGAAGAAGCCCCGGCUAACUUCGUG